rnacentral:rRNA from 1 species
GNAGGUGACAAGCGUNGUCCGGAUNUACUGGGUGUAAAGGGCGCGUAGGCGGACUGUCAAGUCAGUCGUGAAAUACCGGGGCUUAACCCCGGGGCNGCGAUUGAAACUGACAGCCUNGAGUAUCGGAGAGGAAAGCGGAAUUCCUAGUGUAGCGGUGAAAUGCGUAGAUAUUAGGAGGAACACCAGUGGCGAAGGCGGCUUUCUGGACGACAACUGACGCUGAGGCGCGAAAGUGUGGGGAGCAAACAGGAUUAGAUACCCUGGUAGUCCACACCGUAAACGAUGGAUACUAGGUGUAGGAGGUAUCGACCCCUUCUGUGCCGCAGUUAACACAAUAAGUAUCCCACCUGGGGAGU